GUGUCAUGCAAGAAGGAGGCGGCGGCGGCGGCGGCGGCGGCCGGAGCUGGAGGGGGAGGAGGGGAGGAACCUGAUCCUCGGUAGCGAAGGGCUGGAGGCAAACACCGAGCUCCCCCUGAGCCGCCUGGGAGCAGGGAGGGUUCUGCUACCCUGAGGUGCCCUCCCCGCGGGGCAGAGGGGUUUCCUCAGCAGUGCCCCAGAGCAGGGACUGCGCCAGCCGGCAGAAACAGCUAGUUCUUGUCUGCAGUGAAGAAUAAUUGGAAGCAUGGUGCCUGUUUCUUUUCCUGUGGGAGGAAGUCACAGCAUGUGCUUCUGAACCUGUGCUUGCCUUGAGGAACAACGGCAUGACACGGGGAUGUGGACGCUUUCAACCAGAAGAUUCUGUACGAUAGUGUCGGCACACAAGGAGUGUUCCGCUGACUGACCUCUUUUUGUUUUCAAAUGAAGAGGAGCCAAGAAUAGGACAGCUUGGGAAGAUGACUGUUUACUGCACAGGCCCACCAGCAUAUCCCAAAUGUCUUCAGUCUCUCUGUCUUUCAGAAUGAGUCCAAUACUCCCUGGUAGAGCCUAGCAUGGCAGAGACCUUGGGUUUGAUCUCCAGUGUAGACGAAUGAACCAUUUCUUCUUACCCACAUGCGGCUCUGACGACUUUUCUCACACGUUGAGCCUCGAUCUCUUUAUUUUCAUCAGAAUAAGCCUGCUAUGAUCAGCACAUUCAACACUCUCCAGCACUUCCAUAAUUAUCAGACAGAUGGGGUUAUAAUGUUAUAAAACAGCCAGCACUAAAUACAGGCAACAUGAUGGCGACAGAAAAGUAGUUAGCCAAGGCUGAAAUUAACAAAAGCCAACCAACACUGUUGCUGUCUGUUGGGGCCAGGGACGCUGAAAUUCUAUGGCUUUUUUUAUUUCAUUUUUUGAAAGGUGACAGGUUGCCAAGCUGCCAAGAACUCCUGCCUCUGCUCAUACUGCUCUGCUGAAGUACAUUUGAGACAUCAACCAUCAAAUUACAUAUAAAUAUGUAAUCAACUAAAGUUAUUUAUAGCUAGCUCAGUGGGUUUACGUUGACGGAAUGGGCUGAGGCUGCCGGUUUGAUCCUUUGCCACUUAUUUGACACAUGAAUAAAAUUCAUCACCUAGUAGUCUGUCCCUACACUCGACCAGGUCACAAACCUGUGAUCUUCCAGAGACCUGGUUCUACUGUGUAGGUAGACAGUCGUAUCAUUUCAGGUACAACCUCACAUGGCAAUGUAAGUACUAACCUUCAUAACAAUAAACAGCCUUGGAAUCUUC